rnacentral:rRNA from 1 species
CGCAUCUGUGCAUGCAGCAUAUCAAUAAGCGGAGGAAAAGAAACUAACAAGGAUUCCCUCAGUAACGGCGAGUGAAGCGGGAAGAGCUCAAAUUUGAAAUCUUGAAAGGUCACCUUUCACGAAUUGUAGUUUAAAGAAGUGUUUUCUGUUACGAUCGUAAUAUAAGUUCUUUGGAAUAGGACAUCACAGAGGGUGAGAAUCCCGUCUAUGAUUGCGAUUUGUAGCUUUGUGAUACACUUUCAAAGAGUCGGGUUGUUUGGGAAUGCAGCCCAAAACGGGAGGUAAAUUUCUUCUAAGGCUAAAUAUUGGCGAGAGACCGAGUAGCGAACAAGUACCGUGAGGGAAAGAUGAAAAGAACUUUGAAAAGAGAGUUAAAUAGUACGUGAAAUUGUCAAAAGGGAAGCGUUUAACACCAGUGUUGUUUUCUGAAAAUCAACCUCUGUUAGCUUUAUGCAUGUUUGUUUAGACCUAAUCAGCUAUCUUGCAUGUUCUAUUGUUUGCAGUGGUGCACUUUUCAGUUUACAGGUCAACAUCAGUUUUUUUUACCGUAAAAAAGUUAAAGAAAGGUAGCUCAUGGCUCCGGUCGUGAGUGUUAUAGUCUUUUUCCUAUGCGGUAGGAGAGACUGAGGUCUGCAGUGUAGGCUAUUUGGCUAGAUACUCAGGUGCUAUGUGAUACCAUUUCAUAAACAACUUGUUGAUUAUGUUUUGUCUAUUGCAUACUCGCUUGUACUAUCAUACCUACGCUUAGGAUGUUGACGAUCAGCUGAGCGCG